UGCGGGUAAGCCGAAAACCGUAUCAGAGAGUAGGCA
rnacentral:ncRNA from 1 species